AACGAACGCUGGCGGCAGGCCUAACACAUGCAAGUCGAGCGCCCUUUCGGGGGAGCGGCGGCCGGGUGAGUACCGCGUGGGAAUAUGCCCUUCUCUACGGAAUAGCCUCGGGAAACUGAGAGUAAUACCGUAUACGCCCUGUGGGGGAAAGAUUUAUCGGGGAAGGAUUAGCCCGCGUUGGAUUAGGUAGUUGGUGGGGUAAUGGCCUACCAAGCCGACGAUCCAUAGCUGGUUUGAGAGGAUGAUCAGCCACACUGGGACUGAGACACGGCCCAGACUCCUACGGGAGGCAGCAGUGGGGAAUCUUAGACAAUGGGGGCAACCCUGAUCUAGCCAUGCCGCGUGAGUGAUGAAGGCCUUAGGGUUGUAAAGCUCUUUCAGCUGGGAAGAUAAUGACGGUACCAGCAGAAGAAGCCCCGGCUGACUCCGUG
rnacentral:rRNA from 1 species